AGGAUGAAGCUUGGGUGAAACUAAGUGGAGGUCCGAACCGACUGAUGUUGAAAAAUCAGCGGAUGAGUCAUGGUUAGGGGUGAAAUGCCACUCGAACCCAGAGCUAGCAGGUUCUCCCCGAAAUGCAUUGAGGUACAACAGUUGACUGGACCAUAUAGGGGUAAAGAACUGUUUCAAUAUGGGCCGCGAGAGCGGUACCAAAUCGAGGCAAACUCUGAAUACUAGAUUGCCCCAAUAAAAGGCGUAAAGGUCAUCCAGUGAGACGAUGGGGGAUAAGCAAAAUUGUCGAGAGGGAAACAACCCAGAUCAUCAGCUAAGUCCCCUAAAUGACCGCUCAGUGAUGAAGGAAGUACGAGUGCAAAGACAGCCAAGAGGUUUUCCUAGAAGCAACCAACCUUGAAAGAGUGUGUAAUAGCUCACUGAUCGAACGCUCUUGCACCGAAGAUGAACGGGACUAAGUGAUCUGCCGAAGAUGUGGUAUGUAAAAAUACAUCGGUAGGGGAGUGUUCCACCUCAGAGGGAAUCACUGGCGCGAGCAGGUGUGGACGAAGUGGAAGCGAGAAUGUCAGCUUGAGUAACGCAAACAUUGGUGAGAAUCCAAUGCCCCGAAAACCUAAGGGUUCCUUCACAAGGUUCAUCCAUGGAGGGUGAGUCAGGGCCUAAGAUCAGGCCGAAAGGCGUAGUCGAUGGACAAUAGGUUAAUAUUCCUGUACUACCCCUUGUUGGUCCUGAGGGAUGGAGGAGGCUAGGUUAGCCGAAAUAUGGUUAUUGGUUCAAGGACGCAAGGUGACCCUGCUUUUUUUAGGGUAAGAAGGGGUAGAGAAAAUGCCUCAAGCCAAUGUCUGAGUACCAAGCACUACAGUGCUGAAGUAACCCAUGCCAUACUCCCAGGAAAAGCUCAAAUGACCUUUAACAAAUGGGUAGCUGUACCUAAAACUGACACAGGUAGGUAGGUAGAGAAUACCUAGGGGCACGAGACAACUCUCUCUAAGGAACUCGGCAAAAUAGCCCCGUAACUUCGGGAGAAGGGGUGCCUCCUUAGGAGGUCGCAGUGACUAGGCCCGAGCAACUGUUUACCAAAAACCCAGGUCUCCGCAAAGUCAUAAGACCAUGUAUGGGGGCUAAUGCCUGCCCAGUGCCGGAAGGUUAAGGAAGUUGGUGACCUGAUGAUGGGGAAGCCAGCAACCGAAGCCUUGGUGAACGACAACCGUAACUAUAACGGUCCUAAGGUAGCGAAAUUCCUUGUCAGGUAAGUUCCAACCCGCAUGAAAGGUGUAACGAUCUGGGCACUGUCUCGGAGAGAGACUCGGUGAAAUAGACAUGUCUGUGAGAUGCAGACUACCAGCACCUGGACAGAAAGACCCUAUGAAGCUUUACUGUUCCCUGGGAUUGUCUUUGGGUUCUUCUUGCGCAGCUUAGGUGGAAGGCGAAGAAGGCUCCCUCUCGGGGGGGCCUGAGCCACCAAUGAGAUACCACUCUGGAAGAGCUAGAAUUAUAACCUUGUGUCAGGACCUAUGGGCCAAGGGACAGUCUCAGGUAGACAUUUUCUAUGGGGCGUAGGCCUCCCAAAAGGUAACAGAGGUGUGCAAAGGUUUCCUCGGGCCAGACGGAAAUCGGCCCUCGAGUGCAAAGGCAGAAGGGAUCUUGACUACAAGACCCACCCGUCGAGCAGGGAUGAAAGUUGGCCUUAGUGAUCCGACGGUGUUGAGUGGAAGGGUCAUUGCUCAACGGAUAAAAGUUACUCUAGGGAUAACGGGCUGAUCUUCCCCAAUAUUUCACAUCGACGGGAAGGUUUCGCACCUCGAUGUCGGCUCUUCGCCACCUGGGGCAGUAGUACGUUCCAAGGGUUGGGUUGUUCGCCCAUUAAAGCAGUACGUGAGCUGGGUUCAGAAUGUUGUGAGACAGUUCGUUCCAUAUCCGGUGCGGGUUUUAGAUCAUUGAGAGGACCUUUCCCUAGUACGAUAGGACCGAGAAGGACGCACCUCUGGUGUACCAGUUAUUGUGCCCACGGUAGACGCUGGGUAUCCAAGUGCAGAGCGGAUAACUAUUGAAAGAAUAUAAUUAGGAAGCCCACCCCAAGAUGAGUGCUCUCCUAUUCUUACUUCCCUGAGAGCCCUAGUCGCGAACACGGCUGGGACAAUGACGGGUUCUCUGUCCUUACAAGGGAUGGAGCCACAAAAGUAUUGAGAAUCCAAGAUAAGGUCACGACGAGAUGAGCCGUUUAUCAUUACGAUAGGUGUCAAGUGGAAGUGCAGUGAUGUAUGCAGCUGAGGCAUCCUAACAGACUGAGAGAUUUGAACCU
rnacentral:ncRNA from 1 species